rnacentral:rRNA from 1 species
UACGUAGGUGGCAAGCGUUGUCCGGAUUUAUUGGGUUUAAAGGGUGCGUAUGCGGGCAGGUAAGUCCGUGGUGAAAUCUCUGAGCUUAACUCAGAAACUGCCAUGGAUACUAUUUGUCUUGAAUAUUGUGGAGGUAAGCGGAAUAUGUCAUGUAGCGGUGAAAUGCUUAGAUAUGACAUAGAACACCAAUUGCGAAGGCAGCUUACUACACAGUUAUUGACGCUGAGGCACGAAAGCGUGGGGAUCAAACAGG